GUAGGGAAUCUUCCACAAUGGACGAAAGUCUGAUGGAGCAACGCCGCGUGAACGAUGAAGGCUUUCGGGUCGUAAAGUUCUGUUGUAAGGGAAGAACAAGUGCCGCAGGCAAUGGCGGCACCUUGACGGUACCUUGCGAGAAAGCCACGGCUAACUACGUGCCAGCAGCCGCGGUAAUACGUAGGUGGCAAGCGUUGUCCGGAAUUAUUGGGCGUAAAGCGCGCGCAGGCGGCCUCUUAAGUCUGAUGUGAAAGCCCCCGGCUCAACCGGGGAGGGCCAUUGGAAACUGGGAGGCUUGAGUAUAGGAGAGAAGAGUGGAAUUCCACGUGUAGCGGUGAAAUGCGUAGAGAUGUGGAGGAACUCCAGUGGCGAAGGCGACUCUUUGGCCUAUAACUGACGCUGAGGCGCGAAAGCGUGGGGAGCAAACAGGAUUAGAAACCCCGGUAGUCC
rnacentral:rRNA from 1 species